AUGACACACACACUCUCACUCUCUCUCUCUCACACACACACACACACACACACUCGCUCACUCACACACACACGCACUCUCACACACACACACACUCACACAAUCUCUCACACACACGCUCACUCUCACGCACAUUCACACACACACUCUCACACACGCACUCUCACGCACACACUCGCUCACACACAUUCUCUCACACACAAGCACUCACACACUCUCACACAUACACACACACACUCAAACACACGCACUCACACACACAUUCUCACACACAUUCUCUCACACGCUCACUCACACACACACACUCAAACACAUACACACACACUCUCUCACACACACACACACUCACUAACGCUCAGUCUGUCACACGCACUCUCACACGCUCGCACGCUCACGCACACACACACACACACACACACACGCACUCUCACACGCACUCACACACACUCACACACGCACACACACACACACGCUCUCUCACACACGCUUUCUCACACACGCACUCUCACGCACACACACACUAACACACAUUCUCACUCACACACACUCAUACACACUCACACACACACACACACUCAUUCUCUCACGCACUCUCACACACACGCACUCACACACGCACUCACUCUCACGCACAUUCACACACACACUCUCACACACGCACUCUCACGCACACACUCGCUCACACACAUUCUCUCACACACAAGCACUCACACACUCACACAUACACACACACACUCAAACACACACGCACUCACACACACAUUCUCGCACACAUUCUCUCACACGCUCACUCACACACACACACACACACUCAAACACAUACACACACACUCUCUCACACACGCACACACACACACACACUCACUCACACACACACACACACACACUCAUUCUCUCACGCACUCUCACACACACGCACUCACACACGCACUCACACAUACACACACACACACACACACUCUCACAUGCACUCACACGCAUUCUCACACACACACACAAAUUUUCACACACGCACACACACUCUCACACAUACACACACACGCACUCACACUCUCUCACUCUCACACACACACAAGUCUAGUUUUAGUCGACUAA
rnacentral:lncRNA from 1 species